UUUUUUCACUCAGUUGUUUGCCUUCUUCUAACCUUCCACCUUCUUCGACACACCCUCCGACGAGGACGGCGAAGACCAACCCGACCACCACAUCAGAAGUUUCAACGUAACCACACAAUUUUGACCUAUCCUUCCAUCUCCUUCCUUAAUUUUCCUCUUUUGUUCAUCCCUCUUUUCCUUCCUCACCGUCGACGGCGACGACCACCGCUACCAAAAAUUAUUGCACGAGUUCAUCUCUUCAACCUUCUUGACAAUAACAAGUUAUCUGAUCACUUUCAUUUCUCAAUGGAGCAGUCACAUGAACAAUAAUUCAAUUAGCGGACAAAUCCCACCGGAACUCUCCAAACUACCAAAACUCGUUCACUUAUUGAAAAUGGAGAGAUUGGUCAACCUAAUGUAAACAUGCCAGAUGCAAACAUACACACGGGGUUUGAAAAUACUGUUCAGGAUCAAAAUGUAACAUGGAACCAUGGUUCGACGUAUGUUCCAAAUUAUUUUACCAGUGCCAACGGUGUUCCAAUAUUUCCACAAUUUCCACCAGCAAGUCAAAGUAUUCCAAUAUUUCCCCAAUUUCCACCAGCAGUCAACUUCUCAUCACAUUCGAAUAUUGCUAUGUAUCCUGGAAGACAGAAUUUUCAUCAGUAUACACCGUUUCUAGGUGUGUUGGAAGAGGUUGAGCGUUCGGCAAAAAUGGCUUCCAAGAGAGGUGUUUAGCCUACUUCAGAAUUUGAUACAAUUUCGAGUUUCCAUUGGAUCCUAAUAUGGUAUGCUUGGAAAGGAAUGCUUGUCAAGGGGUGAAAUUGUGAAUUUUAAAGUUUGAAUUUAGUGAGCUUGAAAGAAAACUUUGAUUACCACCAUCAUGAAUUACUUUAAUAGAAAACUUUUGAUUUGUUAUAGUAGUUGUUACUAUUGGAGGAUGUUUAUUACUAAGUCAA